ensembl:rRNA 5S_rRNA 5S ribosomal RNA
GUCUAUGGCCAAACCAUCCUGAACACACCCGAUCUCGUCUGAUCUAGGAAGCUAAGCAGGGUCGGGCCUGGUUAGUACUUGGAUGGGAGAUCUCUCACUCCCUCCCUCAUUCACU